ensembl:Y_RNA Y_RNA Y RNA
GGCUGGUCCAAGUGCAGUGGUGUUUACAACUAAUUGAUCACAACCAGUUACAGAUUUCUUUGUUCCUUCUCCACCCCCACUGCUUCACUUGACUAGCCUUUU